rnacentral:rRNA from 1 species
UGGGGAAUAUUGGACAAUGGGCGAAAGCCUGAUUCAGCCAUGCCGCGUGUGUGAAGAAGGUCUUCGGCUUGUAAAGCACUUUAAGUUGGGAGGAAGGGUACUUACCUAAUACGUGAGUAUUUUGACGUUACCGACAGAAUAGGCACCGGCUAACUCUGUGCCAGCAGCCGCGGUAAUACAGAGGGUGCAAGCGUUAAUCGGAAUUACUGGGCGUAAAGCGCGCGUAGGUGCUUUGUUAAGUUGGAUGUGAAAGCCCCGGGAUCAACCUGGGAACUGCAUCCAAAACUGGCAAGCUAGAGUAUGGUAGAGGGUGGUGGAAUUUCCUGUGUAGCGGUGAAAUGCGUAGAUAUAGGAAGGAACACCAGUGGCGAAGGCGACCACCUAGACUGAUACUGACACUGAGGUGCGAAAGCGUGGGGAGCAAACA